ACCAAUAGAAGCAAUUGGAAGAAGUGGAUAAAAGGCGGAACCCGACAUCCGACGCCCUGAAGGACAAGAAGAUACAAUUCAGUCAUCAGAAUUGGAUUUUACAGUGCAUUCCUUCAAUUACUGUUAUAAUGCUAUUAUAGAUAGACUGCUAGAGUCUCACAGUUACUGCUUUAAGCAGCAGAUGAAAGCAUACAAAAGCCUUCAGGCACAUAAAAGCCUUCACAACUGGAUUUGUUUUGAAACAUUGAUGUUUUGAUGAUUUCUAUAUUAUUGUUGGAAAGGUGAAAAAUUCCCAAAAAGCUAAUGCUAAACCGCUAGAUGCUUCGGUGAAUAGCCAGUUCCAAUGGCAUAGCAAAUGCACAUUGUAUGUGUAUGGCCAGUAAUAGUGAAAUUUGCAGCCAUAUUGCAGCAAUCUUAUUUGCAGCUGAGUAUGCCCACAGCAAGACAGAAGAAGAAGAACCCAAUGCAUGUACAGAUGUUACAGCUAUGUACAUUCUCUGGUGAAAAACUAAUGAGUUUUCAAGCUGUUCGGUCAGAGUGCUUGUUGCGCUCUCUAAACGAACUGAUAUAUAAGACGGCUUUGGCUUCAUGUUGCAGUGAUAUGAAAAUGGUUAGUCAUUUUUAAUUAUAAUGUACUUCUUCAUCAUGAGUAUUUAUGUAUAGGGCUUUUCAUUCACAGUCAUUUGUUUCGAGCUUCUGUCAUGUGUCACAUAAUAUUAAUAUUAUAUCUACGUCAUACGUUAUUGGUAUAUAUCAAUGAUACACACCAAAGACAUAUGGCAUAGAUAUAUUAAUAUUAUGUGACACAUGACAGAUGCUCGAAACAAAUGACAGUCGAUAAAAAGCCCUAUUAGUCUUUUAAGUGUGUAUUAUCAGAUAUCACAUGUAAAUUGUUUUUAUCAUGUUAAUUUGGUCAUUACAGUCCCUUAAUCAAAAAAUAUAUUUUUCAGGUGUCUGUGGAUCUUUUUGUAUGCAAAAAUUUGUAAUAAUUAUUUGAAAUCAUUUUGAUGAUUAUUAGAGUAUGGAAAUAUAUGUGAGAACACAUACUAUUAUAGUUUUGUCCUAUUUUUUAUCAUUCAAUAGUCUUCUUAAAAUUUAUAAAUAUAAAGCAGAUAGUUUUCAUUUAAAUUCAAUAUAUUGGGUCUUAUUUGUAUGUAUUCAUUUUUGACUAAAGGUACGAUUCCGAUAACGACUGCAGACAGCAACUGCAAACAUCAGUUGCAGUUCUCGGCGUUAUGGACGUUACUACUUUGCACUAUUUAUCUGUAUGAGACUUAUUCCGACAUCUGACUGCAACUGCUGUCUGGCAGAACGUCAGUUGCUAAUAAUUAUGCAAAUUAUUAGUGCAAAAUAAUGACGUCUGUCAUGGUGACAACUGUAACUGCCAUCUGCAGUCGUUGUCGGAAUCGUACCUUUAAAGUGUGUGGUAUACCUAAUUAUAAUAAUUAUAUAUAUAUAUAUAUAUAUAUAUAUAUAUAUAUAUAUAUAUAUAUAUAUAUAUAUAUAUAUAUAUAUAUAUAUUAUAUAACUUAAAUGGUUUAAACUUAAGUUUGUUAUUACAUUGUGACUUAAAUGUUUAAUUUGUUAAUAAAUGAUUUAUUAGUUUA